GACGAACGCUGGCGGCGUGCUUAACACAUGCAAGUCGAACGAAAAUACCAAGCUUGCUUGGUUGAUUAGUGGCGAACGGGUGAGUAACACGUGAGUAACCUGCUCCUUACUUUCCUGGAUAAAUGCUCGAAAGGGUAGCUAAUACGGGAUAUUCUGACCAGCCUGCCUGGGUUGGUUUGGAAAGGUUGUUUUUCUGGUAAGGGAUGGUCUCGGGGCCUAUCAGCUUGUUGGUGGUGUGAUGGCCUACCAAGGCUUUGACGGGUAGCCGGCCUGAGAGGGUGGACGGUCACACUGGGACUGAGAUACGGCCCAGACUCCUACGGGAGGCAGCAGUGGGGAAUAGUGCACAAUGGGCGCAAGCCUGAUGCAGCGGCGCCGCGUGAGGGAUGAAGGCCUGCGGGUUGUAAACCUCUUUCGUCAGGGAACAAGGCACUGCUUUGUUGGUGGUGUUGAGGGUACCUGGAUAAGAAGCGCCGGCUAACUACGUG
rnacentral:rRNA from 1 species